ensembl:rRNA 5S_rRNA 5S ribosomal RNA
GCCAUCAGUGCCAUAGCAGACUGAGGGCACCCCAUACCAGAAGCUAAGCAGGAUGGGACCUGUCUGGUUCUUGGAUGGGGGACAACCUUAGGAGACCAAUGGCUGAAGGUG